CUGAGCGUUAAAACUUUUCUGUCCGUUCCGCUCGCUUCACACAUACGAAGACAAACAACCAGGCUGUUUACUACAGCGUUCUGCUGCUUUCCCUAAAGAUAUCCCAAACAGCUAACAUGCAAACGAUUCAGAGACACUAGUUCACACAGAAAAGUGCCUCCUCGCGCAGCUGUCACCGCGGAUGUUCGUGCGCUCGUGCGUCAAUGUCGUUUCGUCACGUGACCCACCGAGCUGCAAACUUAAGCAGCCUUUGUGACAAAUGCAUCAUAAUCACCGAAGCAAAUGAGCCAGAGCAGUCAUCGAAAUCCUGCCUACGUUUAUUAUUUCUGAGAAAUCUGAGAGAUGAGACCAGAAAGCGGAUUCAAACAAUGUUUACUUUGAGCAAUAAUUGCUUGAGUAAAUAGCAUACUCAUACUCGUUUGUUGGGACUGCCAAUUUGCAUGUUAAUCGCUGCGUAAUGCAUACUUAAAAAAAAAAAAAGAAUAGCAUGCUUUGCACACUGUAAAGUACACAGUGUUCUGUUCUGAACACAGCCGUGGUUAGUUCAGCAGGUUAACUGCUGCUAGAUGUCAAAACCACAUCAUAACGUGACAUUUUCUACCCUGAAGACCAUUCAGAAUUGAUCCAUGCAUUCAGACUUGAUUAUAUAGUUUUCAAGCAACAUAAACAUCCCAAUAAAUCCAUUAUAGGCUCUUUUAAUAGAUGCUUUACCUAUGAUGGCCAGUUUUAGGAUGCAUAGAAGCAUCACAGGCUUGUUUUUCCCUGCUGUAAUAAUAGUGACUCAAUGGAAGCUGAUAGCCUUUGACUGUGGAGGUCAGAAGGCUCACGUCUGAACCUGCAGUGCUUUUUAAAUACUCUUUCUCCACUGACGUACCAACCAAGGGUUGAUUAAUCACAGUACAUUAAUACAAUUCUUUUGUAUGACAAGUUUUCUGAAAUUUAAAUACGCACUAAUCUGCAUACACUUUCAGAACAAAAUCUUUGGAUAAACCUAGGUUCAAAAUUCUUGUUUUGUUGACAUAUUAAAGGCGUAUAAUAUAUGAACAACCCUAUCUAUAAACGCGUUCAGAAUAUAGA
ensembl:lncRNA